rnacentral:pre_miRNA from 7 species
CCCUUGGCACUGAAAGAUCCCCGAAGGGAGACCCUCACUCAAGCCUCGGGACAGCCGCGGACCCAAGAAGACACUGAGACCG